UGGAAAUUUGAAGAUGGGGAUUGAGCAUAAUGAAACUUGUUUUGAAAAAUAUGUUGUUAUUAGUGUGGAGGUGGGCAAGAAUGAGAAUAGUCAGUAGCAAUGAGGUGUCAAUAAUUUGAUACUGUCUACAUGGAAGACAGUGAUUAGAGCCACGGAAGUCAGAAUGAAAAAUGAUAAAUGUGAAAAUAUUUUAUAGAAGAAAUGAAUACGCGAAGGCCCGUGGUGGGUGUUGACGUGAUGUGAUUUCUGCCCAGUGCUCUGAAUGUCAAAGUGAAGAAAUUCAAUGAAGCUCCAGUGAACGGCGGGAGUAACUAUGACUCUCUUAAGGUAGCCAAAUGCCUCGUCAUCUAAUUAGUGACGCCCAUGAGUGGAUGAACGAGAUUCCCACUGUGCCUACCUACUAUCCAGCGAAACCACAGCCAAGGGAAUGGGCUUGG
rnacentral:ncRNA from 1 species